rnacentral:rRNA from 1 species
GUAGUCCACGCCCUAAACGAUGCACAUUUGGUGUGGGUCAUUCAGUUGAUCCGUGCCGGAGCUAACGCGUUAAAUGUGCCGCCUGGGGAGUACAGUCGCAAGGCUGAAACUCAAAGGAAUUGACGGGGGCCCGCACAAGCGGUGGAGCAUGUGGUUCAAUUCGACGCAACGCGAAGAACCUUACCUGGGCUCGAAGCGUCGGUCAACGGCGGUGGAAACAUCGCUAUCCCGCAAGGGAGUCCGGCGGAGGUGCUGCAUGGCUGUCGUCAGCUCGUGUCGUGAGAUGUUGGGUUAAGUCCCGCAACGAGCGCAACCCUCGUCCUGUGUUGCCAUGCCGAAAGGCGGAACUCGCAGGAGACCGCCAGCGAUAAGCUGGA